UCCUCCACUUUCUAUCACCUGCUGGUGCCUCUCAUUGACUACAUCUACUUGCUCUCUUGUCCUGUCUUCCAGGUGAAGACAAGCAGGUGAUCUUCUCUGAACACAGGACAGAGUGAAGAAGUUCUCAGGGAAGGGCUGACCCUCCAAAGAUGUCAUUUCUUACAAGGACAUCUCCACUUUGAUACAUGAAGCUAUCUUUCUCUCCUUGGAUCUGAUUCCUGAACGCUGUCACCAUGUACCAAUGCUCUCAUAUCCUGAUUGAGUUGGAAGAAGGAAGCUUGAGUCCCAGUUACUUCAUGCAAUGGUGUGUGCUGUGCAUCAGGAAGUCUACUGGCCUGUGAGCUGACCUUCUCAUAGUCAACUCACCUUCUGUCCACACACCAUUUGCAUGGAAUCCCCCACACAAAUACCACUAUCAGGAUCCUAACUGGAGAUAGAAUCCAUCUCUGAUUACCCAUAGGCAUGGGCAGGGUUGAGGGAACUAACAAGAAGUUGGCAUGUCCCUCUACAGUCUCAGGGCUUCAUGACCACCCCAACUCUCCCAGAGCUGAGAGGACAGAGAAGUAACCAGUGCUCCUGGGCCUGACUGAGCUGUUAUCAUGGAAGCCGAAGUCAUAAAGGGAAGUGGCCCCUGGCUGGGGAGAAGGCAACUGACUACCCUCCCUCCACUUGUCUUUCCGUCACCUGCUGGUGCCUCUCAUUGACUACAUCUACUCACUCUCUUGCCCUGUCUUCUAGGUGAAGACAAACAGAUGAUCCUCUCUGAGCACAGGACAGAGUGAAAAAUGAUAGGCUAGAUCUCUGGAGGCAAACCAAAUAAUCAGCACACCCACUCAGAGAUCCUGCUGUCAGCCUAUUUUUGGCCUGUGUUCGACUAUAGAGAGGAAGAUUGACCCUUUCUGGUAUCAGAAAUGUAUAUGAUCCUCCCUACCAUUGGAAUCCCCUGCACUAGGGUGGCCCCUGCAUACUUAGAGCCUCUAUUUUUACUGUGGUCUCCCUGCCUUAGUCAUAAGGAGAUUCCCUCCACAUUGUGCCUGAUACAGUUGUCCUAUCCGAUCUCACCACCAUUGCUGCCAUCAUUGAUACUCUCCUGCUGGGGCCUCUUCCUGCUUAAGUUCUUUUCUGUUCUGCUGCUGUGACUGACAUCGACUCUAUACCUCCUGUCCCCACUACUACAUUAAAGCCCCUUGUGGACAAGAGAUCAAAAAUUAAGUGUGAUAUUCUCAAUGCAGUGAGAAUAUUCCUGGUUUUUCUCAGUUCUCACUGGAACGUAGUUCUCCGACUGGUUCUCUGUACAAUUAAAGAAAGCUGCAUGCGAGCAGGCGAAACUAUGGCUUAAAAGGCUGAAGGUGCAGGGAUCUGAACUCAAUUCUGGGACAGCUGCUUCAUUAACAGAAAUUAGCAUCUUGGAAGUAUCUCCUAUCCUAGGGCUUGUUCUUUGUGGAUACAGAAGAUGCCCGGGGAUUCUUUCUACAUCCCUUGGGUUCUUUGCCAUUUUCACAGCCACUGGCUCCCGACACUUUGCCUCUUAACAGCCAGUGCUCUAUCGUUGAAGGAUGGGCCUCAGGCUGCCUUGACUGCACACAUGGAGAAUCAGGUGCUUUUUAACUAACAACUGAAGGAUGCAGGGAAAAUCCCUCAGCUUAAGGCUCUUCCCUGAGGAUGACCAUGGCACUUCCAGCUGCAGGUCUGGGGUGGCUGCUCAUCUCUUGAACCACUGUCCUCCCAGAUCCCUUGUGUACUGCACCCUACCACCCCAAUUUCUCCCUGGGAAGUACAUUGAUUUGUGCUAGCAACUGCUUACUGGAGGACCCAGCUGUUACAGUGGACACUUUCUCUGGAUGUUGGGUGAAACCUAUGUAGGAUUAAAGGAGAGAAAGCAGACAAGGAGAGCCUCAGGUCAUGAUGCAGAUAUAAGGUCUGAAGCCCCAGUGAUGUGCUCCAAAGACUGCUCAAAGCUAUGCUGCAUUGGGCAGAAAUGGCCAGGCACUACUACCCCUACUGUGCUCAGUCAUCAGCUGGAUUUGCUUGGGGAGACCACAGUGACAAGUGCUGCGAUGGAUCCCAAAGGCACUGCAGCUACCUGCCAUCCUACAGCUGAAUGGCAAGGCUUGCCUUGAAAAGCAAUUCAAGCAGCCCAUCUCCAGGGCUGUCACAUGGAGCUCUCUUUAACCCAUCCUUCCCCCUCUGAAUGCUGGGAGAAGCUAAAUGCUGGCAGUCUUCCUCCAGCUUCAAAUCCAAUUAAGUUCACUGGAGAAUCUGGGCAAUGCCUCCAGAUAACAUUCCUACUUCCAGCCUGGACAGUGUCACACAGUAGUAGCCCUCCUACAAAUCUGUG
rnacentral:lncRNA from 1 species